rnacentral:sRNA from 1 species
AAUCUGAAGAAUGAAGUCACCUUUGAUUCUAAAUGAGUCGGAAAGUUUCCUGCCUCGUCGGGCGCAGCGUGAGCUUGCCCCAUCGGCCGCGAUCGGUGGAGGCUGCGGCGGAUCCAGCCCGGGGCCUCCAGGCCUCUCCCCAACCUCCGGGCCAGUCUCCCUCCCCCACCUUCUCGUCCGCCGGGAGCUGCGGCUGCCGUCCCUGAGAUGCGACCCUCGCGGAGGCAACCCUGAGGGGAGGCGGCCCAUGUGCUGAGCGGCGGCCAGGAGCCCAGGCGUCCGGGGACCAACUUCCUGCCGCCUGGGAACCCGAGCCUCCCGGUGUCGCGCCUCGCUUGGUCUGCACCGGCCUGCGGAGCCGGGUCCCCGCCCUGGUCGCGGGGACGCUCGCCAGGUGCCCAGGAGUCCCGACUUGGCCACUGCCCGCGCCCCGCCGGCCUCCACGCCUCGCGCGGAGGACCUCAGCUAUCGCCGCCUCGGAUCGUGCCAGGCCGGGGACCGCGUCCCCCUUCCCGGGGCGGCCUCCGCUCAGCAGGGGCAAUGCAGACUGUCCCG